AACAAUGGCCAUGCCACCCUGAACAAGCCUGAUCCCGUCUGAUCUCGGAAGCUAAGCAGGGUUGGGCCUUGUUAAUACUUGGAUGGGAAACCACCUAGGAAGACCAGGUGCUGUAGGCG
rnacentral:rRNA from 1 species